AUAUCACAUUGAUGCGCUUUAACAUAUCACGUGAGUGUUUACAAUUACACAAAAUUAAUGCACCAAAUUAUCCAAAUAUUAAGUUUUAUAUAUAAUAUUGUAACAGUUGCUGAUGAUAGUUCAAGAUCAAAGACCGGACCUACAAAAUUGAACUGUCAAUAAAGAUAAACUAAAAAGAAAGAAUUUGCACUUCAUUUACCGCGCCUGGCUCUCACAUAGCCCGAUUCCUUCUAUUGAUAUUAUACAUUACAGCUUUCAAUUCAAUUUGAUGUAAAUAGAUAUUUAGAAAAAUAUUAAAAGAUUGUACUUGUGAUGUGUCGGAGAUUAUCAGUUUUUAAGUUUAAUUUACCGCAUAAGAAUAUUUCACAUUAGGUACAUCUCACAUAGAGGAACUGGGUUACUUAUUUUAUCCUCAUUUGAUGAAAGAUUUGGGCUUGUCACCAGCUGCACCUGAUUUGGAGGAUUACACAAUAAUAAAUUCCUUAACGCAGAUGUGGACAGAUUUUGCUAAAACAGGAAAUCCAACACCUGCUAAUAAAGAUUUGACUUCAGCUAAUUAUAAAUGGACACCAUUAAAAAAUAAAAAUGCAUAUGAUUAUUUAAACAUUAAUAUUAAAUCUCAAAUGGAGAUUCUUUGUAAAGAAAAGCAACGAUGGGAUUGGAAGAUUAGACAUAAAUUAUAAUAAUAUUAUAAUAUUAAAUACGCGCGCGUUAAAAUUUUUUUAAAGUACAUUUUGUCGUCAAUUAAAUAUAAAUAUAUAAAUGUAUAUAUUGUUUCUAAAUCUUCUGUAUUUAUAAAAUUUACUCAUAAGUAAUGAAUGCAAUCGCUCGAUUUGUGUUUCAUUACUUAUACAUGUAUUGUCGAGUGCAACAACACUAAGAAAAAGAAUAAAUGUAUUUUUGAUCAAAA